GUGGGCACAGCAAGCUGACUUGCCUUCUCGAGUGGGUGAAAAACAAUUGGCAUUUCAGUGAGGAACUGGAUGUAAUACAUGAAAUGGCUCAGAUCUACUCAGCUGGAACCCAGGUCAUCCCCCUGAGCAUCGCUGCUGGCAAAAACCCAGUGUGAGGACCUCCUCAUGGAAUACCUCACUUUCCCAGUGGAAAGAAUUUGAUGCCAUUUCCGCACACCCAAAUUCCUGUUGGCAGGAUAAUCAGCAAGUAAUACAGAGAGCUGCUUCCUUCAACAGCUGCAUUCAGCACAAAACCGAGGGCCGAUUAUGUGGAGAAAUAUCCUUCAGAGGUAAGGCAUCAGGUAAAGGCAUCAGUGAUCUUUUCCAUGCAUUCCAAAUACUGUAUUGGAUCAAACUGGAGCAGCAUCAUUCUCUACAGCUGUGCUGGCAACAGACAGACACAAAUGAACUAUUUAAUAUGGCAAAAUGCACAGCUGUUUGAGGCUUCUAUUAUUAGCACCAGUUCUCGACUCACUGGGAAAACUCUUCUUCAACUUGUUAAUGCGACAGUUUUAUUUGUUUGGACGCAGCUUUCCAUUAUCAUUCUUCCCACCCCAAACUUCCCUUUAUCCCCAAGAUGUCUCCAGACAGAGGUGUUUCCAGCUGGCCCCAGUUCAGCUGAUCUCCAGUCUGUCUGCCCAUGAGAGUCCCAGGAGAGCAUGCCGUCUAACUAAGCCGCCUGGGCUUUGCUCUGGACCCCUAAGGAGUCCCUACAGGUCAGGUCUUCCCUGCUCCAUCCAGAGAGGGGCCCCUCUCAUACUGCAGAAUGCUCGAAGUCCACAAAUGUUCAUUCUCCCCUUCGUUACUAGUAGAGCUGGUGGAGGCCGCUCUGCUUCAAGCUGUGAGCCGAGUCAGGGCUGCUUCACUUGUCUCUCAUCCUCUGGACCAGUGACCACCUGGGGUGGCAACAGGGCCAGAGGACGAGCAGAGACACAAGAGGCCUCCUAAGGCCUCAGCUCAGAACUAACAAACUCGCUUCUGCCCACAUUCCAUUGGCCAAAGCCCUGCAUGAGUUGUGGAAAAGUACUCUCCACUUUGGUGAACAUUAGUAAGAGAAAAGAGGGAAGGAAGAAUUGCAGGCAAGUAAUACCAUCUACCUCGGCCUCCUAUGCAGCUUGGUGUGUACCUGCACCUAAGUUCUGGCCUGUAGGAUAUGAGGGGAAGUGAGGUGUGCAACUCCAGGACCUGCCCCUGUAAAGACUGGGCCCUGCCUUUCCCCUGCCCAUCUGCUGGGGACAUGGUAGGACUGCAGCAGUUGCCUGGCCCAGAGAUAGACGGCACAGCUAUCCUGCUGGUCCUACCUCUAGACCGCCACAUGUACCUCACUUACACUGCUUGGGUUUUGCAUCUUAAAACCCCAAUUAGCACACCAUUCAUUCAUUCAUUCCCCCAUCAACAAGUAUGUACUGAGUGUCUUUUUGCCAGGCAUUGCACUAGGUUUUGGAGAGAUGACAGUGAACAAAAACAAACUUGGCUGUUCUGUAUCUUGGCUGUGGCAGUGGUUACACAAGCCUACACAUGUGAUAAAACUGCAUAGAACUAAAUACACACACACAGAGGAAUGCCAGUCAAACUGGGAAUUAAAGAAUCAAAAAGUCACUGGUGACUCAACAUGGCAGCAGUCCAGCUCAACCAUACAGAUGACAGCAGUGUGCUGAAGUAUGACAAAGGAAUGAUUUAAAAGGAAUUGAGGCAGAGCUGCCAGGCAGGCAUGCUCACCUUGGACUUUGAAGCAAGAGAGACAUAAAUAAAGGUCUUUGUUCUGUAAGUAGAGUGUUCAUAUAAUUUAUCAUCCAAACUGAGACACCUGUGAAAAUAAUUACACUGGAACAACUUGUGUGACUGAUCAGCUGGUCACUCCAUCUUUAAGUCAUUGUCUUGUUGAGUCUGUUAUCAGAGCCCAUGGAGUGCCAUGCAUGGACAGCUUAUUUAGGCACAACAGAGAAAAAUUAAAGGGAAGGAGGAGCAAGGAAGAGUGGAAAGGAUAAAGAAAUGGUGAGCAUUGGCAGGAAACAAUGCAAGGAGAAAAGGGAACAGGAAUCGGAUUUUCUACUAAUUUGCUGUGUGUUCCUGUGUCAGUUUAUAAAUUAGUGUCUAUAUUUACAACCGAUUGGAAGAACGAACUUUUUAGAUCCUCUCAUCCAACAAAGCUGCAGAUUUCUUUAUUGAGAUGGAGUUGAGAAAGCUUUAAAACAGGCCAAAGCAACAUGAGGACAUGUGUCAUGAGAAGAGAAAUGGUCUUCCAUAAAUUGAGUGCUGGGGAAGGCUUGGUGUAGGUAAUGUAGAGGUUCUCAAACUGUGGAGAAGCUCAAAAUGUGUUCCUUUGAGCCUUGGUCUUCUAGUUAGGCCACUGUCUAAGCCACUAUACAAAAAGACACCAAACACACUGGCUUCAACAAGACAAGCCUCUGUUUCUCUUUCGGGUGACAGGAGAAGCAGAGGACUAAGCUUUCUUUUCCAAGUCAUCACCUGAAAGUUGCCCCUUCACUUCUGCUCACAUUGCAUUGGCCAGAGACUUGAAAGGAAGCUGGGCACGUGCUGUGGGGAAAAGAAAGAGAGAUCAGAUUGUUACUGUGUCUGUAUAGAAAGAAGUAGACGUAGGAGACUCCAUUCUGUUCUGUACUAAGAAAAAUUCUGCCUUGAGAUUCUGUUAAUCUGUGACCUUACCCCCAACCCU
rnacentral:lncRNA from 1 species